rnacentral:rRNA from 1 species
AAACAAUUUGAGCUUGAUGAUGGCUCUGAAUGAACACUGUCCAAAUGCUUGACACAUGCUAAUCGAACGAUUUCGCUCAAAAUAGAUGAGCGAAGUAGUGGUGUACAGGUGAGUAUAUGAUAACACGGCUACCUAAGAGUAAGGAGAAAGAUCCCUUAUAGUAAUAAAGAAACUAAGGUUUCGCUCAUAGAUGCGUGUAUCUCGUGUAGUUUUAGUAGUAGUUAAAGUAACUGUUUAACUAGCUUUUUACACGUAGUCGAAACUGAGAGGUUGAUCGAUCACAGUGGGACUGAGGAAAUCCCACGAUUAUUAUCACAGCAGUGAGGAAUAUUGGUCAAUGGCCUAACGGCUGAACCAGCAAUUUGGAAGAAUGUAUAGCGAAAGCUGAUUGCAUCAACAAUAUGUUGAUGCAAGAUUGAUUAUGUCAAAUAAAAUUCUGGGUCUAUUUAUGAUAAUGACAUUUUUUACCCAAGUCUUGACCAAAAUACGUGCCAGCAGUCGCGGUAAGACGUAAAAGACUAGUGUUAUUCAUCUUUAAUGGGUUUAAAGGGUACCUAGACGGCAAAUAAAGCCUUUGUGGAACUAAUUUGCUAGAGUUACUUACGAGGGGGUAUUAAAGUACUGUAGGUUUAGAGAUGAAAUUCUGUUAUACCUUUUUUCGAAAGAAAAAUUAUGGCACAGGUAUAGGUGAAAACAUCCCCUUGUGUGAUAACUGACGUUGAGGGACGAAGGCUUUGUGUCGCGAACAGGAUUAGAUACCCUAGUAGUCAAAGCAGAAAAUGAUGAAUGUCAUAGAUUAGAUAAACAAUUUAUUCUAUAAACGAAAGUGUAAGCAUUCCACCUCAAGAGUAACUUGGCAACAUCGGAACUGAAAUCAUUAGACCGUUUCUGAAACCAGUAGUGAAGUAUGUCGUUUAAUUUGAUACCACGCAAAAAACCUUACCACAAUUUGAAUAUUUAUAUAAAUUUUUUACUGAUUUUAUAGGUUAUUUAAAUGCCUGUUUAAAUUAGUGCUUUAUUUUAUUUUCUUUCUUUGCAUUACUAACAAUAAAUAAUGCGAAAAAAAAAUAAACAUAAGACAAAAAAGGUGAUAUAUUUACAAGUGCUGCACGGCUGUCUUCAGUUAAUGUCGUGAGAUUUUGGUUAGUUCCAUUAAAUUAACGUAAACCCUUGCUUUAUUUUUAUAUAAAGUAGUUCUCCACUAUAUUGGAUAUGAUAACAGGGACUAAGACAAGUCAUCAUGGCCUUAAUAUUGUGGGCUAUAGACGUGCCACAUAUGCCUAACAAAAGGAUGUGAAAUUGCGAAAUUGAGCUAAUCCCCCAAAAAUGGAUAUACAUUUAAUGGAUUGCAGUCUGUAACUCGACUGCGUGAAACAGGAAUUACUAGUAAUCGUGUAUAAGUACGGCACGGUGAAUCUAAUCUCAGAUAGGUACUAACCACUCGUCAGGCGCUGAAAAAAGUAUAUGCAUUAAGUUUGGCUAUUGUUUAUUUUAAAUUUGGACAAAUUGGUCCAGAAAUUUAGGCAUCUUGUCUUCGUGUGCGUUACUUUAAUUGGUGUUAAGUCGAAAUACGGUUCGUGUAGUGGAAAUUGCACGGGUUUAAUUAACAUUAAAA